UAUCGCGCUCUUGCAAACGCUAAUCAGGCAAGAUGUGGGAAAUUUGUCGCAUCGACGCGCAGGUGCGGCCCGAAAUAGUACUGUGCAUCCGCUUCGUUAAGAAGGCGCCAUCAGCCACCAUCGACGAUCGACCACGAAUACCGGGUUAACUUUAACUCUUCGAGUGGGUAGUUUAAAUCGGAAAGGAUCGUAUUCGUUAUGGUCGUGAAAAAAAAAAAAAAAGAAAUUCGUUUAUCCAUGUUCAUUUAAUUUCUUUCCACGUCUUCUUCAACCAUGAAGAGGCAUGAAGUAUCAAGAAGCUCUCUUUCUAUAUAAUAAAUGUCAAGGCACUUAUGACGCUUACGAUUUUAUCAAGUCCAGGUGGAUUUGUAUAAACACACGUACAGAAAAAAUCGGUAUCAAUCGAGUAUCUAAUAUAAAGAACACGAGAAAAGCAGAAAAAAAGGAUAUGUGAACUUUGUACGAAUAACGAAAAAAACCUAUUUUGAAGAAUGUGUUAUCUGGCUAUUCUCGAGUCGUAUGUGACAGUGGACACUAUUGUUUACAAAGACAUUCAUCUGACAUUUGUGUUUCAUAGAAAAAGAGAGAGAGAGAGAGAGAGAGAGAG